UCUGCGGCUGGCUCUUUCUCUGGGGAAUGGGAAGGGGAGAAAGACAGGGCAGGGAGAAAGUGGAGAAGUUGCAUUGACUCCCUAGCCCACCCUACGUUUCUAUGUGAACUGAACAACAAGCUGGGCCAUCCUUCCCUAGGAGAAUAACUGGUCACCUGAGCCCAGGGGCAACACCUCAAAACCUUCCAGAAAGCCCAAGAAAUUACAAAGUCAUGCUGCCAGUGGGCCCACAGGUGGGCUCUAUCAGUCUGACUGGUGUCCUCAUAGGAGGAAAUUGGGACACAUACAGAGACACCAGGGAUGUGCAUGCAUGGAGAAAAGACCAUGUGAAGACACAGGGACAGGGAGAAGUGGCUGUCUGCAAGCCUCAGGAGAAACCAGACCUGCAGACACUUUGCGCUUGGACUUCCAGCAUCCAGAACGUCUGAAACAAGGCGUUUGACAACAUGAGACUCAUGUGGUCCAGAACUUUGAAGCAGCUACAUUUGAAAGACUUUUAGGUUUUCUUCACUUGUCACCAAAAUCUGUUACAAAUUCCAAUGUGCAAUUGAAUUUGUGUAUUAAAACAAAUUUAUA